UUCUAGAGAGUAGAGACAACUCAUCUUCUUCUUUUUAACUUUCUUUAGACUCCUCUUCUUCAACUUGAAAGGCUUUGACAUUCUCAGAUUUCCUUUUGGAUUUUAAAGCCAAAAACUUUAUCUUUUUAGGAGGCUCAUCUUCCUUAAGUUCAAUUUCAUGACUUCUCAGAGAACUUAUAAGUUCCUCUAGAGUAGUUUUGUUCAGAUCUUUUGACACCUUCAGUGUUGUCGCCAUUGGUCUCCAUUUCU
rnacentral:lncRNA from 1 species